rnacentral:tRNA from 1 species
CGGAUAGAGGCCCGCUGGAUUGGGUAUUUAGCUGUUAACUAAAAUUUUACGGGAUCGAGGCCCGUCUAUCUAG